rnacentral:rRNA from 1 species
UGGGGAAUAUUGCACAAUGGGCGAAAGCCUGAUGCAGCAACGCCGCGUGAGCGAUGAAGGCCCUUCGGGUCGUAAAGCUCUGUCCUGGGGGAAGAAACAAAUGACGGUACCCCGGGAGGAAGCCCCGGCUAACUACGUGCCAGCAGCCGCGGUAAUACGUAGGGGGCAAGCGUUAUCCGGAAUUAUUGGGCGUAAAGAGUGCGUAGGUGGCCAGAUAAGCGCAGGGUUUAAGGCAAUGGCUUAACCAUUGUUCGCCUUGCGAACUGUUUGGCUUGAGUGCAGGAGAGGAAAGCGGAAUUCCUAGUGUAGCGGUGAAAUGCGUAGAUAUUAGGAGGAACACCAGUGGCGAAGGCGGCUUUCUGGACUGUAACUGACACUGAGGCACGAAAGCGUGGGGAGCAAACAGGAUUAGAUACCCUGGUAGUCCACGCCGUAAACGAUGAGCACUAGGUGUUGGGGCCGCAAGGUUUCAGCGCCGCAGUUAACGCAAUAAGUGCUCCGUCCU